GAUGAACGCUGGCGGCGUGCCUAAUACAUGCAAGUCGAGCGAACAGACGAGGAGCUUGCUCCUCUGACGUUAGCGGCGGACGGGUGAGUAACACGUGGAUAACCUACCUAUAAGACUGGGAUAACUUCGGGAAACCGGAGCUAAUACCGGAUAAUAUAUUGAACCGCAUGGUUCAAUAGUGAAAGACGGUUUUGCUGUCACUUAUAGAUGGAUCCGCGCCGCAUUAGCUAGUUGGUAAGGUAACGGCUUACCAAGGCAACGAUGCGUAGCCGACCUGAGAGGGUGAUCGGCCACACUGGAACUGAGACACGGUCCAGACUCCUACGGGAGGCAGCAGUAGGGAAUCUUCCGCAGUGGGCGAAAGCCUGACGGAGCAACGCCGCGUGAGUGAUGAAGGUCUUCGGAUCGUAAACCUCUGUUAUUAGGGAAGAACAAAUGUGUAAGUAACUAUGCACGUCUUGACGGUACCUAAUCAGAAAGCCACGGCUAACUACGU
rnacentral:rRNA from 1 species